AAUGCUCACUUUGACAGCAUUAUAUAUUAAAAUUGGAACAAACACAGAGAAAAUUGCAUGGCCCCUGCACAAGGAUGACACGCAAAUUUGUGAAGCAUUCCAUAUUAAA